rnacentral:rRNA from 1 species
CAGGGAUUGCCCUAGUAACGGCGAGUGAAGCGGCAACAGCUCAAAUUUGAAAUCUGGCCCUUGGGUCCGAAUUGUAAUUUGUAGAGGAUGUUUUUGGUGCGGUAUCUUCCGAGUUCCUUGGAACAGGACGCCUUAGAGGGUGAGAGCCCCGUACGGUUGAAUGCCUAGCCUUUGUAAAACUCCUUCGACGAGUCGAGUAGUUUGGGAAUGCUGCUCUAAAUGGGAGGUAAAUUUCUUCUAAAGCUAAAUACUGGCCAGAGACCGAUAGCGCACAAGUAGAGUGAUCGAAAGAUGAAAAGCACUUUGAAAAGAGGGUUAAAUAGCACGUGAAAUUGUUGAAAGGGAAGGAUUUAUGACCAGACUUUUUCUAGGCGAAUCAUCCGGUGUUCUCACCGGUGCACUUCGUUUAGUUUAGGCCAGCAUCGAUUUUCGGGGCGGGACAAAAGCUUUAGGAAUGUGGCUCCCUCGGGAGUGUUAUAACCUAUUGUAUAAUACCGCCCUGGGGAUCGAGGUACGCGCUUCUGCAAGGAUGCUGGCGUAAUGGUUAUCAAUCACCCGUCUUGAAACACGGACCAAGGAGUCGAACAUUUGUGCAAGUGUUUGGGUGUUAAACCCUCACGCGUAAUGAAAGUGAACGGAGGUGAGAGCCCUUACGGGUGCAUCAUCGACCGAUCCUGAUGUCUUCGGAUGGAUUUGAGUAAGAGCAUAACUGUUCGGACCCGAAAGAUGGUGAACUAUGCGUGGAUAGGGUGAAGCCAGAGGAAACUCUGGUGGAGGCUCGCAGCGGUUCUGACGUGCAAAUCGAUCGUCAAAUCUGCGCAUGGGG